rnacentral:rRNA from 1 species
AACGAACGCUGGCGGCAUGCCUAACACAUGCAAGUCGAACGAGACCUUCGGGUCUAGUGGCGCACGGGUUCGUAACGCGUGGGAACCUUCCCUUAGGGUCGGAAUAACUCCCCGAAAGGGGUGCUAAUACCGGAUAAUGUCUUCGGACCAAAGAUUUAUCGCCCUUGGAUGGGCCCGCGUUGGAUUAGCUAGUUGUUAGGGUAAAAGCCUACCAAGGCGACGAUCCAUAGCUGGUCUGAGAGGAUGAUCAGCCACACUGGGACUGAGACACGGCCCAGACUCCUACGGGAGGCAGGAGUGGGGAAUAUUGGAAAAUGGGCGAAAGCCUGAUGCAGCAAUGCCGCGUGAGUGAUGAAGGCAUUAGGGUUGUAAAGCUCUUUUACCCGGGAUGAUAAUGACAGUACCGGGAGAAUAAGCUCCGGCUAACUCCGUG